CUUGUAGGCGGUUGGUCGCGUCUGCCGUGAAAUCCUCUGGCUUAACUAGGGGCGUGCGGUGGGUACGGGCUGACUUGAGUGCGGUAGGGGAGACUGGAAUUCCCGGUGUAACGGUGGAAUGUGUAGAUAUCGGGAAGAACACCAAUGGCGAAGGCAGGUCUCUGGGCCGUUACUGACGCUGAGGAGCGAAAGCGUGGGGAGCGAACA
rnacentral:rRNA from 1 species